CCUGAAGAUUCGUCUAAAGGGUUUUUACUUUUUAAUAAUUUUUUCCAACUGUAAUACCAGAUAUAACUGGGUUCAUUUCCUCUUUCAGGUAUCAACCAGACUAUGGAAAAGCUUAAUGAAAUAAUGCACAAAAGACUCAUAAGCAUCAGUGAAAUCUCUCAAGUAACCAAGCACCUUAUUUAUGAAAGAGGAGAUUGGAGCUUCUCUUUGCCUGGAUUAGAUGGGGGCUGAGCAGAGAAUGGGAAU
rnacentral:lncRNA from 1 species